rnacentral:rRNA from 1 species
AACGUAGGAGACAAACGUUAUCCGGAGUUACUGGGCGUAAAGGGCGUGUAGGUGGUUUUGUAAGUCUGGCGUGAAAUUUUUCGGCUUAACCGGGAAAGGUCGUCGGAUACUGCAAGGCUAGAGGACGGUAGAGGCGUGUGGAAUUCCGGGUGUAGUGGUGAAAUGCGUAGAGAUCCGGAGGAACACCAGUGGCGAAGGCGACACGCUGGGCCGUACCUGACACUGAUGCGCGACAGCAUGGGGAGCGAACAGG